rnacentral:lncRNA from 1 species
UGUCUCUCGUGAAUAAAUAAACAAAAUCUUUAAAAAAAUUUAUUAUCUCACAUAACAAGAAAUCCAGGUGUGCCUGAGUGGCUCAGUUGGUUAAGCAUCUGCCUUCAGCUUCCGUCAUGAUCCCAGGGUCCUGGGAUUGAGCCCCAUGUUGGGCUCCCUGCUCAGUGGGAAGCCUGAUUCUCCCUCCCCCUCUGCUCCUCCUCCCUACUUGUUCUCUCUCUCCCUCUCUCAAAUAAAUAAAUAAAAUCUUUUAAAAAAAUCCAGGAGUGGGACAGCAGCAGAUAUGAUUGAUUUCCUGACUUAACAACAACAUCAUAGACCCAGGUUCAUUCUAUCUCUUUACUCUGCCAUCACCGAUGUGUUGGCUUUGUCCUGAGGGUCAAGUUUCACAUAACACAGCCAGAUGCAACAACAUCCAGUGGAGAUUGUGGCAUGUUUUCCUCUAUGUCUCUGUUUAACAGCAAGAAAGUCUUUCCCAGAAUGCCUUCAUCAGACCUCUACUCAAGUCUCACUUACCAGAACUGGGUUGCGUGCCCACCUCUAACCUCUCACUGACCAGUCAAGAGGAUCUUAUUCCCUUUGCCUGUGAUAGUUUAGGAGUGUACUUCUGAGAUGGUAAUAAGGUCACCUUCCCUAGUGGGUGAAUACCUAUAUAGGCUUCUGUAAAAAAGAGGAAAAGGGGUGAAUGGAUGUUGAGUAGGCAAGAAACAGUAUCUGCUACACACUCCUAAUGAGGUGUGCUACACUGUGAAUAAUGAAAAUACUUCAUGAUAAGUGCCACACAGAAUUUUUUACUUUCUAUCAAGUGACAGUUACUGUUGACAUAUCAUCUUCCUUGCUUACACAAAGACACUAGAUAAUAUUAUAUGUAAGGUCCCUUCUGGCUUGAACUGUUUCAAUUUUACAUUUUCAUAUUUGAAAAAGCAGGGUGAAAAAUUAAACCUACAAGAUAUGGUCCAGAAAUGAUGAUGGGUUUCAGCUGACCAGUUACAGGCAUGACUGACAUCCUUUCUCUCUGCAAAAGUUUUAGACAUAGAUAGCAGAUGUAAAGAACCAAACAAACAGAUCAUAUCUUUCCAUUAAGUUUUAACAUUAAAAAUAGAAAGGUUAAAUGUUCUACCUUCCUGCCUCUUUUGUUAACAUCUCCUAGCUUUCUAGCCCUUGUGGUAUAGACAGAGGAGACAGAGGUUGAUUAGAGGUUCUUUUUCACAACUUCCUUCCUUUAGUUUGGUGUCAGCAUCCUCCUGGAGCUCAUACAUGGCUCUGGGAUUGUCAUGGGGGCUCUCAUACCUUUGCUUUUGCUGCCAACUAUGACUUUACCUUAAGAAAUAAUUUCUAUGCCUGCUACCUUCAGAGAUUUCACCUGAAAUAAUGCUCCAUUCAUUUCAUCACAUGCAGGCAUUUUCCUUGUGGGAAAGAAGAAAGACCACUGAGUAUUGUUGUUAUCUCAAACCUUUGCUAUGCUUUCUUCCAAUAUGAAUAAAAUUGCUUUAUUACUUUCAGCUUAUGCCUACCAUCAACUUUCUCUGGGAAAACUGCUGGCUUGAUUUGUAAGCAGUCCCGUUCCUUUUUUUUUUUUUUUUUUUAAGGAUUUAUUUAUUCAUGAGAGACACACAGAGAGAGGCAGAGACACAGGCAGAGGGAGAAGCAGUCUCCCUGCAGGGAGCCCGAUGUGGGACUCGAUCCUGGACCCCGGGAUCACACCCUGAGCAAAAGGCAGAUGCUCAACCACUGAGCCACCCAGGCUCCUAUUCUUAUUUAACAGAGGCUAUGAUUUGUGAUAAAUGUACAACGUAAAAAAGUCAAAGAUAUCAUGCCUCUCAGGACAUUUGGAAUAACAAAUGACAGGAAAACUUGGGAGCAUGAUUUAAGUGGGUUUGGUCACACC